CUCGACAUCCUCAUUGAGGGUUCCAAUGGCGCAUCUGACUACGGUAACAAAUACGGCGAGCCGCUCAUCUGCGGUUUCACUCGUUCGUAUGCU
rnacentral:SRP_RNA from 1 species